GGUAUAGCACAGUUGGUCAGCGCGUCAGGUUGUGGCCCUGAAGGUCGUGGGUUCGAAUCCCACUACU
rnacentral:tRNA from 1 species